CACAUGCAAGUCGAGGGGCAGCACGGGAGUAGCAAUACAACGUGGUGGCGACCGGCGCACGGGUGAGUAACGCGUAUGCAACCUACCUAUCAGAGGGGAAUAACCGGCGAAAGUCGGACUAAUACCGCAUAAACAGGGGCACCGCAUGGUGAUAUUUGUUAAAGAAAUUCGCUGAUAGAUGGGCAUGCGUUCCAUUAGGUAGUUGGUGAGGUAACGGCUCACCAAGCCGACGAUGGAUAGGGGAACUGAGAGGUUGGUCCCCCACACUGGUACUGAGACACGGACCAGACUCCUACGGGAGGCAGCAGUGAGGAAUAUUGGUCAAUGGGCGAGAGCCUGAACCAGCCAAGUCGCCGUGAAGGAAGAAGGAUCUAUGGUUCGUAAACUUCUUUUGCAGGGGAAUAAAGUGCGGGACGUGUCCUGUUUUGUAUGUACCCUGAGAAUAAGGAUCGGCUAACUCCGUGCCAGCCGCCGC
rnacentral:rRNA from 1 species